UAGGGAAUCUUCGGCAAUGGACGAAAGUCUGACCGAGCAACGCCGCGUGAGUGAAGAAGGUUUUCGGAUCGUAAAACUCUGUUGUUAGAGAAGAACAAGGACGUUAGUAACUGAACGUCCCCUGACGGUAUCUAACCAGAAAGCCACGGCUAACUACGUGCCAGCAGCCGCGGUAAUACGUAGGUGGCAAGCGUUGUCCGGAUUUAUUGGGCGUAAAGCGAGCGCAGGCGGUUUCUUAAGUCUGAUGUGAAAGCCCCCGGCUCAACCGGGGAGGGUCAUUGGAAACUGGGAGACUUGAGUGCAGAAGAGGAGAGUGGAAUUCCAUGUGUAGCGGUGAAAUGCGUAGAUAUAUGGAGGAACACCAGUGGCGAAGGCGGCUCUCUGUCUGUAACUGACGCUGAGGCUCGAAAGCGUGGGGAGCAAACAGG
rnacentral:rRNA from 1 species